GACGAACGCUUGCGGCGUGCCUAAGAAAUGCAAGUCGAGCGAGGUUUAGGCUUCGGCCGACGACCUAGCGGCGAACGGUCGCGUAACACGUAAGCAACCUGCCCUAAAGUUGGGGAUAGCCCGCCGAAAGGCGGAUUAAUACCGAAUGUGGAUAUGUAUUCGCAUGUAUAUAUAUCUGAAGCAGCGAUGCGCUUUAGGAUGGGCUUGCGGCCUAUCAGUUAGUUGGUGUGGGUAACGGCCUACCAAGACGACGACGGGUAGCUGGUCUGAGAGGAUGGUCAGCCGGAUUGGGACUGAGACACGGCCCAGACUCCUACGGGGGGCAGCAAUUAGGAAUCUUGCGCAAUGGGCGAAAGCCUGACGCAGCGACGCCGCGUGACUGAUGAAGUCUUUCGAGAUGUAAAGGUCUUUUGUUGGGGACGAAGGAAGUGACGGUACCCGACGAAUAAGCCCCGGGCUAACUACGUG
rnacentral:rRNA from 1 species